GUCUUUUUGAUAAUAAUUUAAAGUCUGGCCUGCCCAAUGAUAAUUUAAAUGGCCGCGGUAUUUUGACCGUGCAAAGGUAGCAUAAUCAUUAGUUUUUUAAUUGAAAGCUUGUAUGAAAGGUUGAACGAGAAAAUUACUGUCUCAAUUUUAUUUAAUAAGAAUUUUAUUUUUAAGUUAAAAAGCUUAGAUAUUUUUAAAAGACGAGAAGACCCUAUAGAGUUUUAUAUUUUUAAUAAUAGAUUUUUAAAUUAUUUAUUAAAUUAUCAAAAAUAUUUUAUUGGGGUGAUAAAUAAAUUUAGUAAACUUUAUUUAUUUUUAAACAUUUAUUUAUGUUAAUAAUGAUCCAAAUUUUUUGAUUAUAAGAUUAAAUUACCUUAGGGAUAACAGCGUAAUUUUUUUUGAGAGUUCAUAUCGAAAAAAAAGAUUGCGACCUCGAUGUUGGAUUAAAAUUUAUUUUUGGUGUAGAAGCUAAAAAAUUAAGUCUGUUCGACUUUUAAAAUUUUACAUGAUCUGAGUUUAAACCGGUGUGAGCCAGGUUGGUUUCUAUCUUUAAAUAAUUAGAAUGUUUUAGUACGAAAGGACCAAAUGUUUAUAAAAUUUAUUUUAUUAUUGAAUAUUAUUGUUAUUUUGGCAGAUUAGUGCAUUAAAUUUAGAAUUUAAUUAUGUAAUUUAUUACAAAUAAUACUUGUUUUAUAAAGAUUUAAUUUUAAUAUUUAUCAGAAGUUUAUUAUUAGUAAUUUGUAUUUUAAUU
rnacentral:rRNA from 1 species